UGAUGAGCAUGUUUUAGUAGUUUUCCCCAAUUUAUUUGAUGAACUAGGGCUUGUGAAAAUUCUGCCCAAAUGGUUGUAUGAUGCUUAUAUGUUGCAAUUGAGGUGUUAUAUGGUGUUUUGGUAGUGAUUGGACCAAGAAAUUAAGGAAAGAUUCACUAGAAACUCAAAAUUUCCAAAAUCUGGAAAAUUCUCUCCACAUUCUGUCCGAAUUUUUAUCUAUAUGUUAGAGGCUGUUUUGGCCUUAGCUCAAAGAAGAAACGUUGUAGCGAAUGGCAUUUUAUAGGUGCCUACAAAAUUUCAGCUCAAUCGGAGCAACGUAGGACGUGAAAAGUCCAAAAUACCCCUACU
rnacentral:lncRNA from 1 species